GCCUACACAUGCAAGUCGAACGCAGUAGCAAUACUGAGUGGCAGACGGGUGAGUAACAUGUGGGAAUCUGCCUUGUGGUUCAGGACAACAUUGGGAAACCGAUGCUAAUACUGGAUAAGCCCUUACGGGGAAAGUUUUAAUGCCAUAAGAUGAGCCCGCAUUUGAUUAGUUAGUUGGUGAGGUAAUGGCUCACCAAGACAAUGAUCAAUAGCUGAUCUGAGAGGAUGAUCAGCCACACUGGGACUGAGACACGGCCCAGACCCCUACGGGAGGCAGCAGUGGGGAAUCUUGCACAAUGGAGGAAACUCUGAUGCAGCGAUGCCGCGUGAGUGAAGAAGGCCUUUGGGUUGUAAAGCUCUUUUGUAGGGGAAGAUAAUGACUGUACCCUAAGAAUAAGGUCCGGCUAACUUCGUGCCAGCAGCCGCGGUAAUACGAAGGGACCUAGCGUAGUUCGGAAUUACUGGGCGUAAAGCGCGCGUAGGCCGUUGAGUUAGUUAAUUGUGAAAUCCCAAAGCUUAACUUUGGAACUGCGAUUAAAACUGCUCGACUAGAGUUUGAUAGAGGAAAGCGGAAUACAUAGUGUAGAGGUGAAAUUCGUAGAUAUUAUGUAGAACACCAGUUGCGAAGGCGGCUUUCUGGAUCAACACUGACGCUGAGGCGCGAAAGUAUGGGUAGCAAAGAGGAUUAGAUACCCUCGUAGUCCAUACCAUAAACGAUGAUUGCUAGAUGUUGGAAAUUUAUUUUCAGUAUCGCAGCUAACGCAUUAAGCAAUCCGCCUGGGGAGUACGACCGCAAGGUUAAAACUCAAAUGAAUUGACGGGGACCCGCACAAGCGGUGGAGCAUGUGGUUUAAUUCGAAGAUACGCGCAGAACCUUACCAACCCUUGACAUGUCUGUCGCGAGUUUAGGAAACUAGACUUUUCGGUUCGGCCGGACAGAACACAGGUGCUGCAUGGCUGUCGUCAGCUCGUGUC
rnacentral:rRNA from 1 species